GAUGAACGCUGGCGGCGUGCCUAAUACAUGCAAGUCGAGCGAAUGGAUUAAGAGCUUGCUCUUAUGAAGUUAGCGGCGGACGGGUAAGUAACACGUGGGUAACCUGCCCAUAAGACUGGGAUAACUCCGGGAAACCGGGGCUAAUACCGGAUAACAUUUUGAACCGCAUGGUUCGAAAUUGAAAGGCGGCUUCGGCUGUCACUUAUGGAUGGACCCGCGUCGCAUUAGCUAGUUGGUGAGGUAACGGCUCACCAAGGCAACGAUGCGUAGCCGACCUGAGAGGGUGAUCGUCCACACUGGGACUGAGACACGGCCCAGACUCCUACGGGAGGCAGCAGUAGGGAAUCUUCCGCAAUGGACGAAAGUCUGACGGAGCAACGCCGCGUGAGUGAUGAAGGCUUUCGGGUCGUAAAACUCUGUUGUUAGGGAAGAACAAGUGCUAGUUGAAUAAGCUGGCACCUUGACGGUACCUAACCAGAAAGCCACGGCUAACUACGUGCCAGCAGCCGCAGUAA
rnacentral:rRNA from 1 species